rnacentral:rRNA from 1 species
GACGUAGGGCGCGAGCGUUGUCCGGAUUUAUUGGGCGUAAAGAGCUCGUAGGCGGCUUGUCGCGUCGACUGUGAAAACCCGUGGCUCAACCAUGUGGUCUGCAGUCGAUACGGGCAGGCUAGAAUUCGGUAGGGGAGACUGGAAUUCCUGGUGUAGCGGUGAAAUGCGCAGAUAUCAGGAGGAACACCAAUAGCGAAGGCAGCUCGCUGGGACGUUACUGACACUGAGGCGCGAAAGCGUGGGGAGCGAACAGG